CCCCCCCUCGCGGUGGCUCAUAAAAUCUCCGAGGCAGAGGCAGGGCAGCUUUCUCAGCCCCCGAGCUCGCAAAGGUGACCCAGGGACAGACAAACUGUGCUGAAGUCAGAAAUCAACUGGCAUAUUCAGUCUGGAGGAAUCUCCCAGGGUACCAGUCGAAUGCAUUAAGAGUGUAUUUCUCCAGCAAGAAGUGAUGGGAAGAGCACAGAGCAAAAAGAAGGUAAGGCAGUUAAAAGCAACUUGUAUUUUUAGACCCCAGGCUCCCACAGAAAUCUUUGGAGAUGCUGAGCUCUAUAUUUGUGAAAAAUACGCCUUUUAUUUGCAAACAAAAAUAAUGCUUUAGAAGUCCAGCUUGGACUCCUGUUACUUAAAACCGUCCAUAAUAUUUUUCUUUGGACCAAUUUGCUGACCUGAUAAUUAAUGUAGCUAAUGGCUGUUUUUCUUUCCCUUAUCAGCAGGUUUGUUUGUUUGGUUGGUUGGUUUCUUUUCUUUUUUCUUUUUUUCUUUUUUUUUAACACAAGCAGAAAGAAGCAGGGAAGAAGAUGAAGAAAUAAUCUCUCGAAGGACGCAGUAAUACUACCAUCUAACUAAAAAGAAUUCAGACAUGCACACAAUCCUCAGGAAAAUUCAUCUCCACCCUCCCAACGGACUCUGGUGAGAGCCCUUGAAGCGGUAAUUAAAGUCUAUUGAGUGGCAACUGCACCUGUUUAGAAAGGCGAAUGUGGGUAAGAGGUGCACAAAGGGAGAUGAGCAGCAGAGAAGGAGUGUGAGAGGAGCAGCUGGAGGUGGGGAAGGGAAGUGGUAAGAGGAGAAAAUGUAUUUGUUGGAGAAGUCAAUCCAAUAAGAUGUGCAUUUCCCAUUCUUCCCUUUAUUAGCUUUCUGCCUGCUCUCCUGCACCCCUUCACACAUGCAGCUGGCUUCUACCCCACUCUCACACCCACUGAUGGAAACUCCAGGGGGCUUUCUCCAGUUAGCCAGAAUGCUCGACCAGCUGCUCAUCUUGUGUAAAUCAACAGAGUCCCACUGAAGUCCUCGUGGAUUUACAAUCAGCUUGUGCUCAUUUACACCAGCUGAAGAUCUGCUCCAGUGACACUUAUUAACAGUCACUGGGCUCCUCAGACUGGCAGCUGGGACAUGCUAGUUCUUGUCUGCUGGGUUGUCUUUUUCUCUAGAAUAGAGCACGUCCCUUUUGUCAGCUUUGUCACCCAAGUGUAAAUCCUAUAGCAUCUGGGAUGAAUAAAUCAGUGAUGUUUCUAGAUUUCAGCAGGUGUGUCUGAGAGCAAGAGUGCAGGCAGAAACUGACUGAAAUGGAGGAAACCAAAGCAGUGCUUACAGGCAGGCCAUUCUGUGCGUAUUGGUAAGAUUGCUAUUUUUGCACAUGUAUCUCCCAGAUUUUCUGAACUGCUAUCACACUCAGAUGGUCCUAAGUACUAUCUGUGAAGCCAUGCAAAAUGAACUCACUCUUAAAUACUGCUGGUAAUAGUGGAUUUUUUCAUUACCUUGCAGACUACCACUGAUCCAAGGACCACUGGUGUGGAACCACUGUUUUGUCCGGUAAAUUUACACUUCAUAAGACACUUGAGGGCCAAAAUCUGUGAUGUGCAGUGAUGUAAUGUGGAAGUUCUGCCAGUUUAUUGUGUCACCAAAUAACUGCAUAUUGGCUUGCUAAUGGCAGUAAUCAGCAGGUCAAGUAAUAAUACAAUGGAGAAAAGAUAAACACAAAAAGCGGCAGAGAGAAAUCCUCCAGUGUUUGAGUAGAAGAAUAAGAAAAAGAGGUCAUUCUUUAGUACAGAAAUCUGGACUGCCCUAGCAAUCAAGGAUCCAAAGACUAGAGCUGCAUAGUGAUAUAGAUACAUGGUCCAAGAGAUUCGCCAUCCUGAAACCUGUGGAUUGAUAACAAAUCCUAGUUCCUUUGCCAUAAUCUCAACUUCAUCUUUGAUGCCAUUAAACAGGGUUUCAUCUUGUUUGCCCUACAGGGCAUUUCAGAUGAAGCUACAAAGACAUAGCACAUCACUUCUGUAUAAUUAAUCAAAGGCUCUGACAAUAGAAUUAUUUCUUACACUCAACCUAUGCGCACACACUAUUGAAGCCUACUCAUUUAAUUCCCUUUAUCCAACAUAAAGAAGGCUUUCUGUGUUACUAUGCAUUUGCAAGGGGCUACAUUAAUAAGAACUAUCCCUUUUCACUGCAAUUUUACAUGUGCCCCAGCAAUAAACUGCACUAAACUAGAAUUUCUGGGGUGAGAUCAACCUGUUGCUGAGCUGAGAAAAAUGAUUUAGGCAGAAUAAUUUGACUGGUGUUUGCAAAAUUUUCUCUCUUGCUGGACUUGAUGGCAAAGAGUCUCUUGUGAAUCCCUGAACUUCAUUCUGUUCAGGAUUCAUUGAAUCCUUCAGAUUCAAUCCAACAGAUCCUUCCUAAUCCCCAGUUGCCAGAGCUCAUACACACCAGUGCUGGUGCAAAGUUGUUGCAUCCACUUUCUACAAGUAUUAGUGAUGUCUCUGUAGCAUGUGGUCCUGGUGGCUGUACCAGAAACUGUAUCCUUGUGAAUGACGACAGAAAGAAAUGUGCAUUCAGCAAAAGCCAAUUCCUCUGGCUGCUAAGGGUGAGAUUUACAAUUAAUUGGAAAUACGGUCCAACCAACUCACCGAAGCUCAGCUACAGUUAACAGAGACAGACAGAUAUGUCUGAACAAGAAAGCAGCCUACCAAGCAUUCAUUGUCUUAGGGGUGAGAUUAAUUUUUGCACUGGCUGCAAUGAAACCUAUGUAACUCACUUAACACUGAAUGCCUAACUACUAGUCAGUUACAGUUAUGUGAGAAGAAUCAUACCCCAAAUUCCCGUCGUAAAUUCUAGUCUUCUACAAAAUCAUCAGGUAGGUGAAUCUCAUGUGAUAUACUGCCUUAUUUCCAUAUUUUUGCUCCCAAAUACUUGUCUCCCUCUAUAUUUUUUUUCUCUUUCCAGCUGAAAGGGUCUGUUCUUCAGCCUUUUUCUUUUUCUGCCUUACCUCUCAUUGCUGAGUAACCUUUUGACUUUUCCAUCAAUAAGACUAAAGAGCAUUUGAACCAUUCUGUUCCCCCCUUCUCUCCUCCCUCCAGUUCCAAGUCAGGCAAGCACAUCGAUCAGAGGAGCUCAGGAAAUAUCUGGUGUUUUGUUGUCAGGAUGAUAAUAACAUUGCAGUUGUGAAUAGGUUGCUGCAGGUCUGAUCAUGGACACCUGCAGGGUUUGUUUAAUUGCAUUUAAUGACAAAUCCUAUACAGAGGAGCAUUGCCAGAGAGAUUUAUUAUCCACAAAAGAGGCAAAGCACAACAGCUCAAAAUAUAAUUUGCACUGAGCAUUUUCCCCCCUGCCUCUCUUUAAACCAUUGUAAUAAAUAACAAAUCAGGUAAAGUGGGAAACAUAAGUCUGAGAAGGAGGUGAGGGGCAGAGGACAGAGACUGAAACCAAAGGAAAUAACAGUAAUAAGGCCACACUGUUCUUUCUACCAUCCCUGUGGUCUGGUAUAUAGAAAAUACUGUUUGUUUAAUUUACGGCCUGGAAGUGCAGCUGGGGAUCUCUCUGUGAUAAGCCAGCCUCCUCUCAGAUAGCUGGAGGCUAAGCUCUUGAGUCCCUAUUCUUUCUGAUUAGGCUUUUUUUUCACUAUGUUUGGUAGCUAAGUUUAGACCUUAUCUAUAGAAACAAUUACAAAGAAACUACAGUGGCUUCUCAGCACUAUGGCUUUCACCUGCUGCAAUUACAAGGAGGCAUAAGUUUCCAUAUUGUUGAAAUCUCUGGGACAAACUACAAGUGGCAGAUCCCAUCGUGAAAAAAUAUCACAUUGAGAAAUACAGCCCUACGGAGACAGCUCCUCUAUCAGAAGUCUAGACAAAAGUCUCACACACCUCUGAGUCUGGACAGAAUUUAUGUGUUCUACUAAAUACCAUGCUCCUAAGAGGAAAUGCAUACCUGUAAAACCAACAGAGGACCUCGUUCCCUUGCUCAAGCCAAUUAGAUCUCUCACUUAUUAUGUGAUUGUCUGGUGAAAACUUGUGGCAAAUCCCUUUCCCAACCUGGUAUAUCACUGCUAGGCAGAGCAUAGUUCCAGAACAAUUGUAGAGUUGUCACUUGAAAUGGUGCAGUUGGACUAGAUGACCUUUGAAGGCUCCUUCCAACCAAACUAUUAUAGCAUAGCCUAGUCUACUCUACUCUAAUUACAAUCCAAGUUAGCACUUUCCAAACCAUUCUCUCUCUCACAAGUUCAUAAGCGAUCUUUACAAUUCUCACUCUCUCUUCUAAUUACUCUUGGCAGAAUACUGAAUUGUCCUGGCCAGCUUAUUUCUAAAAAUUGUCUUGCCCCACUGAAGUGGGUUUUUUGGGGGGAGGGGGUAUGCUCUGUAGCAUGGCAGAGGAGAAGAUAUGCUGCCCGUUAGAGAAAAUGCCUUAAUUUAGGAAAUUCAAGCAUGGGCCAAAAGAGGCAUGUAUCAGAGUAAAGUUGUAUUCAGAAUAAGCAAAGGAUGCAUGCUCACUAAUGUUCUACUUCAUAUUCAGAUUAAAUUUUGCACUUCAAAUGAUGUGCACCAGGAAGUUUCUGCAGUGUUUGGUCUCUAUUUUAUUAGAGGUAAGAAAUUGGCAGUUGGCAGUCAUUACACAAACAUGGUGUAGGGUAACACCUGGACUUCAGUUUUAUCUGAUUUCCUGGACAAUGGCAGUAUCGCUAAUACCCCCUGUUAAAUAAGGCCACCUGGACAUCUACUGGUAUCAGCUCAAGCUAUUACAAACAUGCUUACUACCUAGUCUAGCACAAUGGAUUGUUAUCUCCUGAGCAGCACAAAUCCCCAGAUUGAAACAAGCCAUCUGGAAUCUGAUUAAAGUGUCCAUAGAAAGCACAUAUGUUUAAAAUGGAGAGAGGGAGAGAGCAGAAAGGCUGAACGAUGCUCAGUGUGGCACAAUCUCUGCUAGAACCAGCAAACUCUUUGUUCACUGAAAAUUCUUUCUCCUUCUAUGAAAGAAGCCUUUCACCAAAGCAGCUGUGCAGAGGUGAGGCUGCUGGAGGAUACUUUUCUUUGUUUUUCCUUUUUACAGCUGCUGACAAAAGUAUGUUUAAGAGUCUUGGUUUGGCAACAGGAAGGAUACCAUCCUUUGUCCGAUUCCACUGGCUGAGAGAAGUAUGCCCCAAUCAGAUAAUGGCAGUCAAAAGGAAUAAAGCAAGAUCCUUUCCUUGGGUGUGAGCCAGCAUUGUUCUUUCAUGCAUUAUUCAUGAAAUAUGCAAGGUAUUAACAGCAAAAGCUGGGGAGUGGAAGCAAAGCUAAACCUGGGGUGAAACGAAGAUUGCUCUUCAACAAAUUCAGAGAAAAGGAAACAGAAAAAAAGAUUUUGUUUUCUUGCUUAAAUCAGUCUCUUAGUAGGAUUCCAGGAAACUCAGUGCUAUCAUUUUCUUAUCAUUUUCUUUGCUGCUUGAUUUGUUUUCUCUAGCAUUCCUAAGUAUAUAUUGAAUUUACUUAUUUUAGUCAGACUAAACUAUAACAGAGAGAUAGGCAGGCUGACAGAGCACUCCAGGAGAAGUUUAUCACAGGGUAUGGAAGAAAGAGAUCCUGCUGAGUUCUGAUAUCCCUGGAAAAAAAACAUGGCCCAAUUUUUUAUAGGUAUAUGCAGUCUCCUGAGUGAGAAAAUGGAGCAAAAAGUCAUAGAUACAGUCACCAAAUUGGAUAGAAGAUUAUAGUGAAAUUUGACAUGGUCUCACAGAGAACACCAUGGUUUUUUUUUGUUUGUUUUUGCACUGCCUAACAUGUCUGGCAUCCAUCUCUGAAAUGAGACGCAAAUGUUGAAUGAAUGAGAACAAGUGAGGAAGGAUAACAGAAGAAACGAAGGAGGAUAUCCCUGACAAGGAGGUGCUGCUCUCUGUGGUCUGGCU
ensembl:lncRNA